UGAUCGACGGAGUAAAGUAAUGAUCAA
rnacentral:sRNA from 1 species